UCCGAGCCCUGCCCACUGGCUCAGGACUCCCGUCCUUCCCAGGCUCCUCCCAGCAGGGCAUCAGGCAGCUGGUGGCCCAGGUCCAAACCCCCACCCUGCCAGCUGCCAGCCACGUGGCCCGAGUCUCAGUUUCCCCAUCCGCCGCGGUAAGUCCGACUCGUUCACGAAGGUGCUGGGCCCCGCGGGCGGCUCUUCGGCACCCGACAUGCUCAGCCUGAGCGUCCUGAAUUCAGCCUCUCGCAGGCCUUCAAUUUGGGAAUCCUUCUAAUGAAAAGAAAACAGAGGUGGCGGAGACCAGCCGGCCGGCCGAGGUCGGUCAUUUCUCUGCAGCCGCGAGGAAGGCCCCAGCUGUAAAAGGCGCAUUCAUGUGUGUUUCCGUGUUGCCUGGGGUGACGGGCCACGGCGCGCGGACACAACUGGCCCUUUUAGCCGGGGCGGCUCUAGGAGCAGCGGCGCCCUCACCGCCUGGCCUGUGUAAACGCCUCCAUGCCACUGGCCAUGAAUGACUUCAGUGUACAGAGGUUUUCUUUUUCCAUACCUGGCCACCAGAACGUCCAACAUUCUUCUAGAAAAAAUGUGGCAAGGUCCCUGGGAUCGUUUUCUCUCCAAAUGGCUGAUCCAUCCCAGUCUGGCCCCGACACAAGCCAGCUCUUCUUCCACUUAAUGACGUGAAAGAAAAAUCGUGCUUCCGUUUUUGCCACCUGCUGUGACGGCCCCAACCUAGUUCCCUCGGACUGCCUGGGGGUGAAGGAUCCCUGAACCAGAGGCCGGGCCUGCUCCCCUGCUCGCCACCCCCACCCCCCGUGCCUGCAGCAGGGCCGACGCCUGCGGAGAAGCGAACCAGCACAGCGCGUACAGCCGCUGCGGGCGCCUGUGAAUGUGUCCCCGACGGCUCCUCUCGCGGCUGAGCCCGCGAGGAUUUGCUCCGAUCACACGUCUCGCUGGGACCGCGCCCAGCCAG